CUCCCGAUUACGAAAGGUCGAAGGUUAAGAUAUCCCCGCAGAGGUGGUCGUUGAGCGCUGUAUUACUGACAGACGCGUUCAAGAGAAAGGUGAUUAUUGAACUACAUCCUACGACCGACGGAUCGUAUGUGGAUUUGGCAGAUCGGCUGGAAUAUGUCACAGUAAAAAGUGAAUCACGCUGUCGUUUGAAAUGACGAUACCGAUGCCUGUGCUGAUAGCCAACAUUAUUCCGGCCACGAUCAAAAUUAUCGAUUAGCCAAAAUGUAAUCUGCAACCUCCGGGUGAGUUGAGUUCGAUGAAUCACGUGAGUGAACGCUUGGAUAAAUUAUUCCGGUGAAAGAAAACCGGAAGAUCGAUCGAUGAUGAUUCUUUUAUUUCAGCCAGAG
rnacentral:misc_RNA from 1 species